rnacentral:misc_RNA from 1 species
GUAAAUUACGCGCCACCUUCAUUGAAAAAGCCACUCCUUUUGGCGUCAUCCUCGCUCUUCUCUCCUCACACCACUUCGCGGCAGUCGCCACUUUCAUUCUCCAAACUUCUUCAUUUCCACUGUCGCCGGAGUUCAUUCCAUACAUUCGCCGCCAUGGCUGAAGCAAAAGACGCUGCCUUCUAUUCUCCGCCAGAGCACGACGUCGGGAGUUGGUACUCGGUGCCGGACCUUCGGCUUCGCGACCAUCGCUUCACUGUUCCCCUCGAUUACUCUGUUCAGCGCAGUGCUUCUCCCAAGAUCUCCAUUUUUGCUCGAGAAGUCGUGGCUGUUGGGAAAGAAGAACAACAACUGCCUUACCUAUUAUUUCUACAGGGUGGACCCGGCUUUGAGUGUCCACGGCCAACUGAGGCUAGUGGAUGGAUACAUAAAGCAUGCGAAGAAUUCCGUGUUGUUUUGAUGGAUCAGCGAGGAACAGGCUUAUCAACUCCUUUGACAUCAUCAUCUAUGUUACAACUGGGUUCUGCACAGAAGUUGGCUGAAUACUUGAAAUAUUUUCGAGCUGACAAUAUAGUGAAUGAUGCUGAAUUCAUCCGAGUUUGUCUGGUUCCUGAUGCUGGACCUUGGACAAUUUUGGGUCAGAGUUAUGGUGGCUUUUGUGCUGUAACGUAUUUGAGUUUUGCACCACAAGGACUGAAACAAGCCCUGAUAACUGGAGGAAUCCCUCCAGUAAGGAGUGGAUGCACUGCUGAUAUUGUCUAUAGAGCAUGCUAUGAACAGGUUAUUCGCCAGAAUGAAAAGUACUAUAAGAGGUUUCCUCAAGAUGCUGAAAUUGUUCGUGAAGUUGUGAUCCAUUUGGCGGAAUCUGAAGGAGGCGGGGUGCUUCUUCCAUCAGGGGGAAUAUUAACUCCAAGAGGACUUCAAAUUCUAGGUCUUUCUGGUUUAGGAUCCAGUUCAGGUUUUGAGCGUCUUCACUAUAUGUUUGAAAGGGUGUGGGAUCCCAUCAUAGUUCCGGGAUCAAGAAAGCAAAUUAGCGACUACUUUUUAAAAGCUUUUGAAAAUUGGUUGGAUUUUGAUUCAAACCCACUCUAUGCUAUCCUGCAUGAGCCCAUAUACUGUCAGGGUGAUUCAUCAAACUGGUCUGCUUACAGAAUUUUGGCUGAAGACAAUGGUAAAUUUGAUGCAAUCAGGGCUGCAAAAGAAGGCCGGCCGGUAUUUUUCACAGGGGAGAUGGUGUUCCCAUGGAUGUUUGAUGAAAUUCAUGCCUUGAAGCAGUUUAAAGAUGCUGCUGAGUUAUUGGCUGAGAAGAAAGAUUGGCCUCCCCUUUAUGACAUUGCUGUGCUGAAAAAUAACAAGGUACCUGUUGCAGCUGCUGUUUAUUAUGAAGAUCUGUAUGUUAAUUUCAAGCUGGCAAUGGAGACGGCUUCUCUGAUAGCGGGUAUUAGACUAUGGAUAACUAACGAAUAUAUGCAUUCUGGUCUGCGGGAUGCAGGGGGACGUGUUUUAGAUCAUUUGUUGGGAAUGUUAAAUGGAAAGAAGCCAUUGUUCUGAUAACCACUAUACUUUCUUAUAACAAUGGCUUCCUUUUCCCCUAGCCAGUACAUUUCCCAUGGUUAAAAAUUAAAAAUAAUGUACUUGUAUCGAUGGCUAAUGUGGAUUGUUUCAUAUCAGACUUCCUC